rnacentral:lncRNA from 1 species
UUCAAUUCUUUGAAUGAGCUGGUGGAUUAUCACAGAUCUACAUCUGUCUCCAGAAACCAGCAGAUAUUCCUGCGGGACAUAGAACAGGUGCCACAGCAGCCGACAUACGUCCAGGCCCUCUUUGACUUUGAUCCCCAGGAGGAUGGAGAGCUGGGCUUCCGCCGGGGAGAUUUUAUCCAUGUCAUGGAUAACUCAGACCCCAACUGGUGGAAAGGAGCUUGCCACGGGCAGACCGGCAUGUUUCCCCGCAAUUAUGUCACCCCCGUGAACCGGAACGUCUAAGAGUCAAGAAGCAAUUAUUUAAAGAAAGUGAAAAAUGUAAAACACAUACAAAAGAAUUAAACCCACAAGCUGCCUCUGACAGCAGCCUGUGAGGGAGUGCAGAACACCUGGCCGGGUCACCCUGUGACCCUCUCACUUUGGUUGGAACUUUAGGGGGUGGGAGGGGGCGUUGGAUUUAAAAAUGCCAAAACUUACCUAUAAAUUAAGAAGAGUUUUUAUUACAAAUUUUCACUGCUGCUCCUCUUUCCCCUCCUUUGUCUUUUUUUUCAUCCUUUUUUCUCUUCUGUCCAUCAGUGCAUGACGUUUAAGGCCACGUAUAGUCCUAGCUGACGCCAAUAAUAAAAAACAAGAAACC